CUUUUUGAUUAUAAUUUAAGGUCUGGCCUGCCCAAUGAUAGUUUAAAUGGCCGCGGUAUACUGACCGUGCAAAGGUAGCAUAAUCAUUAGUUUUUUAAUUGAAAGCUUGUAUGAAAGGUUUGAUGGAAAAAUAACUGUCUCUGUAAAAAUUAAUUAAAAUUUUAUUUUUAAGUNAGANAGCUUAAAUUUUUAUUGAAGACGAGAAGACCCUGUAGAGUUUUAUUGUCCUUUUUAUAAAAAUUAUAGGAAUUUAAUAAUUUUUAUCUUAUAUGAUAAUUUAAUUGGGGUGAUUAAAAAAUUGAUUUAACUUUUUUUUUAUUAGUACAUUGAUUUGUGAUUUAUUGAUCCUUAUNUUAAGANUAUAAGAAUAAACUACCUUAGGGAUAACAGCGUAAUUKUUUUUGAGAGUKCAAAUCGAUAAAAGAGANNNCGACCNCGAUGUUGGAUUAAAAUGUAUUUKUGGUGUAGAAGCUAAA
rnacentral:rRNA from 1 species